UAAGGAAUAUUGGUCAAUGGACGCAAGUCUGAACCAGCCAUGCCGCGUGGAGGAUGAAGGCCCUCUGGGUUGUAAACUUCUUUUAUUUGGGAAGAAACCUAUCCUUUCUAGGGUAGUUGACGGUACCAGAUGAAUAAGCACCGGCUAACUCCGUGCCAGCAGCCGCGGUAAUACGGAGGGUGCAAGCGUUAUCCGGAUUCACUGGGUUUAAAGGGUGCGUAGGUGGGCAGGUAAGUCAGUGGUGAAAUCUCUGAGCUUAACUCAGAAACUGCCGUUGAUACUAUCUGUCUUGAAUAUCGUGGAGGUGAGCGGAAUAUGUCAUGUAGCGGUGAAAUGCUUAGAUAUGACAUAGAACACCAAUUGCGAAGGCAGCUCGCUACACGGUUAUUGACACUGAGGCACGAAAGCGUGGGGAUCAAACAGGAUUAGAUACCCGUGUAGUCC
rnacentral:rRNA from 1 species